rnacentral:lncRNA from 1 species
AAUUGUCUGCUGGACAUUCCUCCCUGAUACAUCUCACAGAGGCUGUGGACAGGAGCACCGAGAGCCACUUCCUGGAGCAUGCUCCCCACCCCCGCAGCCUGUGGCUUCAGCCUCUGCUUCUGCAGACAGCGGUGGAGGAAGUCAGGACUGUCCCUUCUGACCUGAACACCUACCUCCAAGUCCUCCCUGUCGCCACAGAGACCCGGCAAUGCAAGUGAGUCCUGUUUGACCUCGUCAAUCAUCGCAGACUGUAAAGGUGACUCGGAUGCUCAAGAAACGAGCAUACCCAGCAGUGGGCCCCAGACUUCUCGCAGGCCCAGGUCCUCCUGGGUGCACAGAGACCUACCAGACAACGGUCCGG